rnacentral:tRNA from 1 species
CCCUGGUUCGCUCAGUUGGUAGAGCGCUCCACCUGUAAUGGAGAGGUUCCGGGUUCGAUACGCCUGGUCCGGGUUCGAUACCCGGACCAGGCG